CGGACGUUAGCGGGAGUUAAGGGAAGAGGACGAAGCUCUGUGAUUGGCUGGAACGGCCACGUGGCUCCGUUAAUUCACCAAUAGUGUGGUUUCUACUUGCGCUCGCCGCGGCCAUCGUGGUCCUUCAGAGAAGAAGCGCGGCUGAAGGCGCCGAUGGACGAUACCGGCUCAUUCUGAAGCACAGUUUAAAAAUGGACAUGGUGGCGCCGGCAGCGGCUGCAGUGACAGGCGGCCGGAGGCAGGUGGAGCUACGGGCUCUCAGGGCCAAAAAAUGGAGGACAAGCAUCGGAGGAAAAAAAAAAACUCAACGCGUGAAGAAGUCAUGAUAUUAUUGAGUCUUGUGCGGAAAAAUCACUAAUCACCAAUUGAAGGAAGCUCCAGGAAUGCCGAGAGCUAACUGCAGCCAUUAACUCAGAACGAAGUGAAGUUUGGGAAGUGCGCAAGGUGAAAAGGAAAUGGAGUGACCUAAAAAGACAGGCUACAGGGGACUCCCCCAGGUCGGAACACUUUCCAACUCGUGGUGGUCCCAAGCCAGAUGCGGGACCUUUUUCAUCACUGGUCCUUAGGUAGGUGCUGCAUAAAGUCAAACAGCAGGCUCUGAAAUUAGAGGCCGAGAAAGCAAAACACGAACUCCACCUCGUAAAAACUGAAAGAUUAUAAAUCAAUAUUAAUUUAACAAUUCAUUCCUUACACAUUAAUCAAACGUGACACAUAUUACAAUUUAUUCAAAAUAUAUUGUACCCACUUUUUAUACAAAUGUGAGGUGAAAUGACAUAAUAUUUAAAAUGAUAUAUACAGCAUGUAAUUUUAAGCAUUGAAAAUAUAUUGCAACACUUUUGUUUCUGUUCACAGUGUUUAAUGUAGAUUAAAUGUUUUUAUUUGCA